CCCUUAGAUGUCCUGGGCCGCACGCGCGCUACACUAAUGCAUUCAACGAGUAUUUCCUUGGCCGAGAGGCCUGGGCAAUCUUUUAAACCUGCAUCGUGAUAGGGAUAGAUUAUUGCAAUUAUUAAUCUUGAACGAGGAAUUCCUAGUAAACGCAAAUCAUCAAUUUGCAUUGAUUACGUCCCUGCCCUUUGUACACACCGCCCGUCGCACCUACCGAUUGAAUGGUCCGGUGAAAUCUCGGGAUUGUGGCCAGUUCACUUUAUUGGGAGUUGGCUGCGAGAACUUGCUUAAACCUUAUCAUUUAGAGGAAGGUGAAGUCGUAACA
rnacentral:rRNA from 1 species